rnacentral:piRNA from 1 species
UGGUGAUCAGGUUUUCCUCUGAGGUGUCAUA